CAUUACCGAAUUCCAAGGGGGAUUCAUUAGGAUGAUGGUAGUCUAGCGGCUGUAAUGGCCCUAAACUCGGGAAUGCGAGGCGGUUGCUCUCAGCGGAAAACUGUCCAUUAGUGCGCUGGUUCAAGACUGUCCCCUCCAGAAAACUUGGUAGUCAAUUGUCCUUCGACACGCAAGUGUUGUCUGGACUUGGAAUAAUCGGUCCUUGACUGGUCAGGGAAGCAAUUCCGCAUCCAGCAGGACCUACCGAGUUAGUCGUAGGAGAUCGGGGCAUGUCGUCGGCCGCGCUGUGGAUCGCGCCUCUCGCAAACCCUACCUCUCCGAAGUGUCCUGUACCCUAAUCCAAACACCUGUGUGCACCCGUUGUAGGUCCUAGGACCUAUGUUAUUCCUUUGUAAACCCUUGCAUGUAUACAGAACGUUGUCCACAGAAAUAAAUAAAAUAUGAUAACUUUCAGCAACGGAUCUCUUGGCUCUCGCAUCGAUGAAGAACGCAGCGAAUCGCGAUAAGUAAUGUGAAUUGCAGAUUUUCCGUGAAUCAUCGAAUCUUUGAACGCACCUUGCGCUCCUCGGUAUUCCAAGGAGCAUGCCUGUUUGAGUGUCAUUGAAAUCUCAAAACCCUAGCUUCGCUCUGUCGGAGUCCGGUUUUGGACUUUGGGAGUGUGUCGGCGACCCUCUGCUUCGGGAUGUCGGCUCUCCUCAAAUGCAUUAGCGGUGGGCUUGAGUCUUUGCAUGGCACGGCCUGUUCGACGUCGUAGUGAUCGUCGCGGGCUGGAAGUGCUCGGCUCGGGAAUCGACUUGUCUCAUGCUUCCAACUUCGGGGGGUCGGGUCGGGUCGGGUGCUGCAACUCGGCCGGGGUUUGGCCCCCUUUGAAUGCUUGACCUCAAAUCAGGUAGGACUACCCGCUGAACUUAAGCAUAUC
rnacentral:sRNA from 1 species